rnacentral:rRNA from 1 species
CCUACGGGAGGCAGCAGUGGGGAAUCUUGCACAAUGGAGGAAACUCUGAUGCAGCGAUGCCGCGUGAGUGAAGAAGGCCUUUGGGUUGUAAAGCUCUUUUGUAGGGGAAGAUAAUGACUGUACCCUAAGAAUAAGGUCCGGCUAACUUCGUGCCAGCAGCCGCGGUAAUACGAAGGGACCUAGCGUAGUUCGGAAUUACUGGGCGUAAAGCGCGCGUAGGCCGUUGAGUUAGUUAAUUGUGAAAUCCCAAAGCUUAACUUUGGAACUGCAAUUAAAACUGCUCGACUAGAGUUUGAUAGAGGAAAGCGGAAUACAUAGUGUAGAGGUGAAAUUCGUAGAUAUUAUGUAGAACACCAGUUGCGAAGGCGGCUUUCUGGAUCAACACUGACGCUGAGGCGCGAAAGUAUGGGUAGCAAAGAGGAUUAGAUACCCUCGUAGUCCAUACCAUAAACGAUGAUUGCUAGAUGUUGGAAAUUUAUUUUACAGUAUCGCAGCUAACGCAUUAAGCAAUCCGCCUGGGGAGUACGACCGCAAGGUUAAAACUUAAAGGAAUUGACGG